ACUAAAAUUUUUAGUGUAAAAUCGACUAUGUUGAAUAAAAUUCUGGGUAGUAUUAUGAUAAUGACAUUACUUAUUCAUAAGUCUUGACCAAAUUACGUGCCAGCAGUCGCGGUAAUACGUAGAAGACAAGUGUUAUUCAUCUUUAAUAGGUUUAAAGGGUACUUAGACGGUAAAUCAAGCCUGAGAAUGGGACUAUUUUGCUAGAGUUUUAUGUGAAAAAGUAUUAAAGUACUACUGGUGUAGAGAUGAAAUUCUGUAAUACCUUAUAUGGCACAGGUUAUGGCGAAAGCAUCUUUUUAUGUAAAAACUGACGUUGAAGGACGAAGGCUUUGUGUCUCGAACAGGAUUAGAUACCCUAGUAGUCUAAGCAGACAAUGAUGAAUGUCAUAGAUUAGAUGUAGUUUGAUCUAUAAAUGAAAGUGUAAGCAUUCCACCUCAAGAGUAAUUUGGCAACAUUGGAACUGAAAUCAUUAGACCGUUUCUGAAACCAGUAGUGAAGUAUGUUGUUUAAUUUGAUAAUCCGCAAAAAACCUUACCACAAUAUGAAUAGAUAUAUUUUAUCAUACAAGCGUUGCACGGCUGUCUUCAGUUAAUGUCGUGAGACUUUGGUUAGUUCCAUAAAAUUAACGUAAACCCUUACUUUAUUUUAAAAUAAAGUAGUUCACCGCUAUAUUGGAUGUGAUAAUAGGGAUCAAGACAAGUCAUCAUGACCUAAAUAUUGUGGGCUAUAGACGUGCCACAUAUGCCUUACAAAGA
rnacentral:rRNA from 1 species